rnacentral:rRNA from 1 species
GACGAACGCUGGCGGCGUGCCUAAUACAUGCAAGUUGAGCGCUGAAGGUUGGUACUUGUACCAACUGGAUGAGCAGCGAACGGGUGAGUAACGCGUGGGGAAUCUGCCUUUGAGCGGGGGACAACAUUUGGAAACGAAUGCUAAUACCGCAUAAAAACUUUAAACACAAGUUUUAAGUUUGAAAGAUGCAAUUGCAUCACUCAAAGAUGAUCCCGCGUUGUAUUAGCUAGUUGGUGAGGUAAAGGCUCACCAAGGCGAUGAUACAUAGCCGACCUGAGAGGGUGAUCGGCCACAUUGGGACUGAGACACGGCCCAAACUCCUACGGGAGGCAGCAGUAGGGAAUCUUCGGCAAUGGACGAAAGUCUGACCGAGCAACGCCGCGGGAGUGAAGAAGGUUUUCGGAUCGUAAAACUCUGUUGGUAGAGAAGAACGUUGGUGAGAGUGGAAAGCUCAUCAAGUGACGGUAACUACCCAGAAAGGGACGGCUAACUACGCG